GCUCCGGUGUCCCGGUUUCAAAUCUACAGCCUCCAGCGCUAGGGCCGUUCGCCUCUCGACCCCCCCGCCUCGUGCUAGAGUGCUAGACGUCCACAUCGCGUCAUCGCUGAGCAUCCAAUCAAGGCGUCGAUCCGACCAUAUUCCCUGCAGAUUAACGCAAAGAAUAAGGGAAACAACAUGUGGUUGUCAUCAUAGAAUCACAAAGACAGGAGCUAUUGACAUUUUUUAAAGAAUAAUACUGAUGUGUCAAUGCGCCAUGAUGAUGAGUUUGCAAUAGUUGCCGUGGAGGAACAACUAACUAAUGGGAAUUCUGAAUCUGAGAAGCAAGAAGAAAAUGUCAUACCAACAUCAGUGAUGACGAUAUUAUCAAAUUCACUUAGUCAUAUGGCGUAAUGUCUCAUCCAACGCAAGGCCGACGGCGGAUCCUGGUGGCAUGGUGUUAGGGAGGUUCGGCGACGGGCGCGUGUGGACGGAUUCGUGCAGGAUGGUGGAGUUGUCUAGCGUCGUGGUGGCGUCGACAGCAGGCCGGGCAAUGUCGAUGGGUCAGUUGCUGCUCUGGAGAUGGACCAGUGGAAGAUGGCGCUUUGAGAGUGCGUCGAUCCGGUAUGAGAUCUAGUCUCGGUAUGUGGUUGGGUUGGGGCAUCCGGUUUUAAAUGUUAGGGUUUGGUGCGAUGUCCGUUUGGUAUUAGGCCCGACUAUUCGGCACGUGUUCAUCAAUGGGAUAGGAGUAGCAACAGGUGUUGCUUAGA